CUUCAGCGCGCCGAGGAGCAGCGGCCGUUCGGCGGGGCGGUCCUGGCCGUAGGUGGCGAGCAGCGCCUGUGCCUC
rnacentral:antisense_RNA from 1 species